AGUGGAAAGUUGCUUGUUGCCAGAUUUGGCAACUUAGCAGGUAACAUGAAACCCUAUAAAGAUGCCGCGUCAUGUGACGCCAUCGAUCUCGUCCAAUCGUAUCUCGAAUUUGGUCAAACGUAAAAUGGACCGUGCCGAAAACUAGCUGUGUAAUUUUCUGCUUUGCUUCCUGACGAAAUGCAGAAUCAGGAGCAAGCGACGCCGUAGGAGGAACAUUCCUCAGCCGAGCUUCGUAUUUGUUCUCACUCCUCUGGCCCUAAUUACACCUCUGAGCCUGGUGUUGACAUCACUGUGAGUGUGUUGCACCUGCGGGUGAUGAUUUACACCUCCACCCCUUUCAUUAGUGCAGCUGCAGCCGAGCAGAGGUCAAUUAGGCCUGACUCAAAUCGAGUGUGUGUGAAAGCCUUUAGAACACACACUCGUAACGUGCGUUGUUUGCUGCUGUCGGCUCUUGGCAAUCACGCUGCUCUUUCUCUUGCCAGUUUUUUUUUUUUUUUUUUUAAUUUUACGAGAAGGUACGGUGACCAGGUAUGUUGACUUUUUAGUGGCUGAUUUGAAAAACACCAGAGAAGGCAGUCAACAAAGGACAGACAGAGACAUGGUCACCUCUCACCUGCAGGUGGUGCAGCGAGAAAGGGAUAGAAAAAGACUCAGUUUUGAACAGCAACAGUUUAAUUUCAAGCAAAUUCAUCUUUUAGUAGAAAAUAUAACUAACAUGUUUCUCUGUAUAAAUCACACGCUCACAAAAAGUCUGCCAGUUCUUACAAAAAUACUUGGGUCAAUUCUCAGACUUUUGAUUCGCUGUCGAUCGCCUGAGGUCUAUAAUUGAAGCCGCGUUGAGCCGCACUGCCGUUACCACACAUCACCGACUUCCUUCAUUCCAUCUGGCCAAAACCAAAUCACCAGGCCGACAGUCAUGAUGCCACCGGCACUAACGCUGCAGUGGGCGGAGCCAGUGUUUGGAUCGAAAUCCACCAAAAAGUUCAACCUUGUUCUUUUCCAACCAUAACACAUGGCUUUGAGACUGGAGUUUGGUUUUGCGAAACAAUUCCGGAUGGAAAAUUCCUGCAGAUUCUUUAAUGGUUGGUUAGGCCUCUCUGCCCGACCUGCUUUCUUCUCGUCUUUAAAUCAACUCUGCCACUGGAUGGUCACUGGUUUGAUUCCGUGUGAUUUUUGCCAGUUCUCCUCAUGCACGGGUUCCAAACUCCAACGAUCUGAGGAACUUGUCGUCACUGCCAUGUCAUUGGACCACCACCAGUGUUCAAUGGGCAGGACUGCUUUAUUUUUCCGCCUCGCUCUGCCUUAUGGUCAUGUGCUCUUGGCAGAGAUGCUCCAGAUGGAGGGACGGAAAAACGAUGCAAUGAGGGGAAGAGAAGUUGGGGCAGAGAAGUUUAAAAGAGGACAAAUCAGGUCCAGCGCAGGAUGUAAACAAACUAAUCCGCCAGUGUGAAGUUUUUACACAUUUCAGGUUUUCGCCGCGGGCCGUGUGACUCAUGCAGCGGCUCUGCGUGACCUCAGAUGCUGGCUGUCCGGCUGCUGAUGCUGGGAGUGUUUACUGCAGCGAGAACAACUGUGGCAGUGCUGGUCUGAUGGGUUCCUAAUGGAGUGGAUCACAUGUCAAUAAGUUCUGGCUGCCGAAGAGUUGAAAUGUUUAUUAUAUUAUAUGUCAGGUUGAAUCUGAUUGGUCCGUCUGAUAUGUAACAACCUGGUGACUUUUCUGUCUCUUUCUGUCCUUGUCCCUGCUGUUUUUGGUCACUUCAAGGACAACGUGGUAUCAUCAGCAAACUUGUGUAUUUUAUACUACAGUAUAUUAUUGGAUCAUGUUUGGCUUUUAGCCAGUUUUUGGAAGCAAUUUUCAGGUUUUUUUAAGCAAAUUAAAGCAAUUAGAUCUUGAAUUCACUUUUGAGCUCAUCCUUCUAGUUAAUAUAACUAAC